AAAGAACGCUGGCGGCAUGCCUCACACAUGCAAGUCGAACGAAGACUUCGGCCUUAGUGGCGCACGGGUGCGUAACGCGUGGGAAUCUGCCCCUCGGUUCGGAAUAACAGUUAGAAAUGACUGCUAAUACCGGAUGAUGACUUCGGUCCAAAGAUUUAUCGCCGAGGGAUGAGCCCGCGUAAGAUUAGGUAGUUGGUGGGGUAAAGGCCUAACAAGCCGACGAUCUUUAGCUGGUCUGAGAGGAUGAUCGGCCACACUGGGACUGAGACAAGGCCCAGACUACUACGGGAGGCAGCAGUGGGAAAUAUUGGCUAAUGGGCGAAAGCCUGAUCCAGCAAUGCCGCGUGAGUGAUGAAGGCCUUAGGGUUGUAAAGCUCUUUUACCAGGUAUGAUAAUGACAUUACCUGGAGAAUAAGCUCCGGCUAACUCCGUGCCAGCAGCCGCCGUAA
rnacentral:rRNA from 1 species